rnacentral:rRNA from 1 species
AGUGAACGCUGGCGGUAGGCCUAACACAUGCAAGUCGAACGGCAGCACAGUAAGAGCUUGCUCUUACGGGUGGCGAGUGGCGGACGGGUGAGGAAUACAUCGGAAUCUACUUUUUCGUGGGGGAUAACGUAGGGAAACUUACGCUAAUACCGCAUACGAACUACGGGUGAAAGCAGGGGAUCUUCGGACCUUGCGCGAUUGAAUGAGCCGAUGUCGGAUUAGCUAGUUGGCGGGGUAAAGGCCCACCAAGGCGACGAUCCGUAGCUGGUCUGAGAGGAUGGUCAGCCACACUGGAACUGAGACACGGUCCAGACUCCUACGGGAGGCAGCAGUGGGGAAGAUUGGACAAUGGGCGCAAGCCUGAUCCAGCCAUACCGCGUGGGUGAAGAAGGCCUUCGGGUUGUAAAGCCCUUUUGUUGGGAAAGAAAAGCAGCAGGUUAAUACCCCGCUGUUCUGACGGUACCCAAAGAAUAAGCACCGGCUAACUUCGUG